CUCUGGCAAAAAUAACGUUGUGGCCGAC
rnacentral:sRNA from 1 species